CAAAAAGUGAAAGGUGGAGGGAGCUACCCAGAGAAGAGAAAACCAGUGAGGGCAAGAGGAGGCUAAGUGGCAAAGAACAAGUUUAAAUUUUGCUGACUUCAGUGUCUAGCUAUUGGAUCUUGUUAGCUACAAUGGAACAGUUCCAACAGGAGAGGCUGAGGGAGCCUUACAUCAGAAUAUCCCAUAGCCAACUGGUUGGAGUACUCACCUCAGAGGUGGCAAGGCCUUGUUCAAAUUCCUUCUUCCCAUCAGAUGGAAGGGGGACUUGAGCUGAGGGUCUCCCACAUCCCAGAUCUUGCUACCAUCGUUAUUGCCUUUGUCAAUUCAAGACGAGACUAUUGCCGUGAGUUCAGAUGGGGCUACAUCUUAAAACUAUUUGGAACCUGGAACUGGACAGAUUUCAGCUAUCUCCUUGGAAAGUGGGAUGUCUUAUGGAGAUGGUACAAGGGAUGAGCUGAUUAUAAUGCAUUUUAUUUUUGUAAAUUUAAAUAAUUGGCAGAGUGUUCAGAGCCUGUGUAUGGAUGCUUUUAAAAAAUAUCAGUUUGGCCCACAGUACAGAUGGAAUUUAGAAUAGAAGAGAAUGUUUCUUCUUUUUUUACAUGAAAUAUCCCUUAUUCAGAUAACUACAAAUUUUAAAAUGUACUGACCAAGAUUAGAUAGACUAUUGCUUUCAUUUUAUUACUCCGUAUGGACCUAAUCCUCCAAACACUGAUGAGCAUAAGUAACUCUGUCUCUGAGUUUUACCUGAUUGAACUGAAUGGUAACUCAUGUGAGUAAAGGUAUGUGUGUGCAGGACUGAGACCUAAGUAGAAAUAGCAGGGAUAUGUCUGAUAUUCUUUGUUUACCCUCUUUCAAUAAAGCA